rnacentral:rRNA from 1 species
AGCUACACAUGCAGUCGAGCGGUAGCACAGAGAGCUUGCUCUCGGGUGACGAGCGGCGGACGGGUGAGUAAUGUCUGGGAAACUGCCUGAUGGAGGGGGAUAACUACUGGAAACGGUAGCUAAUACCGCAUAACGUCGCAAGACCAAAGUGGGGGACCUUCGGGCCUCAUGCCAUCAGAUGUGCCCAGAUGGGAUUAGCUAGUAGGUGGGGUAACGGCUCACCUAGGCGACGAUCCCUAGCUGGUCUGAGAGGAUGACCAGCCACACUGGAACUGAGACACGGUCCAGACUCCUACGGGAGGCAGCAGUGGGGAAUAUUGCACAAUGGGCGCAAGCCUGAUGCAGCCAUGCCGCGUGUAUGAAGAAGGCCUUCGGGUUGUAAAGUACUUUCAGCGGGGAGGAAGGCGAUAAGGUUAAUAACCUUGUCGAUUGACGUUACCCGCAGAAGAAGCACCGGCUAACUCCGUGCCAGCAGCCGCGGUAAUACGGAGGGUGCAAGCGUUAAUCGGAAUUACUGGGCGUAAAGCGCACGCAGGCGGUCUGUCAAGUCGGAUGUGAAAUCCCCGGGCUCAACCUGGGAACUGCAUUCGAAACUGGCAGGCUAGAGUCUUGUAGAGGGGGGGUAGAAUUCCAGGUGUAGCGGUGAAAUGCGUAGAGAUCUGGAGGAAUACCGGUGGCGAAAGGCGGCCCCCUGGACAAAGACUGACGCUCAGGUGCGAAAGCGUGGGGAGCAAACAGGAUUAGAUACCCUGGUAGUCCACGCCGUAAACGAUGUCGAUUUGGAGGUUGUGCCCUUGAGGCGUGGCUUCCGGAGCUAACGCGUUAAAUCGACCGCCUGGGGAGUACGGCCGCAAGGUUAAAACUCAAAUGAAUUGACGGGGGCCCGCACAAGCGGUGGAGCAUGUGGUUUAAUUCGAUGCAACGCGAAGAACCUUACCUGGUCUUGACAUCCACAGAACUUAGCAGAGAUGCUUUGGUGCCUUCGGGAACUGUGAGACAGGUGCUGCAUGGCUGUCGUCAGCUCGUGUUGUGAAAUGUUGGGUUAAGUCCCGCAACGAGCGCAACCCUUAUCCUUUGUUGCCAGCGGUUCGGCCGGGAACUCAAAGGAGACUGCCAGUGAUAAACUGGAGGAAGGUGGGGAUGACGUCAAGUCAUCAUGGCCCUUACGACCAGGGCUACACACGUGCUACAAUGGCAUAUACAAAGAGAAGCGACCUCGCGAGAGCAAGCGGACCUCAUAAAGUAUGUCGUAGUCCGGAUUGGAGUCUGCAACUCGACUCCAUGAAGUCGGAAUCGCUAGUAAUCGUAGAUCAGAAUGCUACGGUGAAUACGUUCCCGGGCCUUGUACACACCGCCCGUCACACCAUGGGAGUGGGUUGCAAAAGAAGUAGGUAGCUUAACCUUCGGGAGGGCGCUUACCACUU